AGUCAACGGAAAAAGAGAGCUUGCUUCUUUGAUUCAAGCGGCGGGACGGGAGAGAAAAGCCUAAGAAUCUGCCUGGUAGUGGGGGACAACGUCUCGAAAGGGAACGCUAAUACCGCAUACGUCCUACGGGAGAAAGCAAGGGGACCUUCGGACCUUGCGCUAUCAGAUGAGCCUAGGUCGGAUUAGCUAGUUGGUGAGGUAAUGGCUCACCAAGGCGACGAUCCGUAACUGGUCUGAGAGGAUGAUCAGUCACACUGGAACUGAGACACGGUCCAGACUCCUACGGGAGGCAGCAGUGGGGAAUAUUGGACAAUGGGCGAAAGCCUGAUCCAGCCAUGCCGCGUGUGUGAAGAAGGUCUUCGGAUUGUAAAGCACUUUAAGUUGGGAGGAAGGGUUGUAGAUUAAUACUCUGCAAUUUUGACGUUACCGACAGAAUAAGCACCGGCUAACUCUGUGCCAGCAGCCGCGGUAAUACAGAGGGUGCAAGCGUUAAUCGGAAUUACUGGGCGUAAAGCGCGCGUAGGUGGUUUGUUAAGUUGGAUGUGAAAGCCCCGGGCUCAACCUGGGAACUGCAUUCAAAACUGACAAGCUAGAGUAUGGUAGAGGGUGGUGGAAUUUCCUGUGUAGCGGUGAAAUGCGUAGAUAUAGGAAGGAACACCAGUGGCGAAGGCGACCACCUGGACUGAUACUGACACUGAGGUGCGAAAGCGUGGGGAGCAUUCAAGAGUAGAUACCCUGGUAGUCCACGCCGUAAACGAUGUCAAAAAGCCGUUGGGAGCCUUGAGCUCUUAGUGGCGCAGCUAACGCAUAAGUGACCCGCCUGGGGAGGGGG
rnacentral:rRNA from 1 species